GGUUCCAUAGUGCAGCGGUUAGCACUUAUGCUUUACACACAGAAGGUCCUGGGUUCCGCCCCAGUGAAGCCA
rnacentral:tRNA from 1 species